GACGAACCGAGCGAGCGUUGUUCGGAAUCACUGGGCUUAAAGGGCGCGUAGGCGGGUGCUCAAGUCCGGGGUGAAAUCCCACAGCUCAACUGUGGAACUGCCUCGGAUACUGGGUGUCUCGAGGGUGGCAGGGGUAUGCGGAACUAUCGGUGGAGCGGUGAAAUGCGUUGAUAUCGAUAGGAACUCCGGUGGCGAAGGCGGCAUACUGGUCCACUUCUGACGCUGAGGCGCGAAAGCCAGGGGAGCAAACGGG
rnacentral:rRNA from 1 species